AUUGAACGCUGGCGGCAGGCCUAACACAUGCAAGUCGAACGAGUGGCGGACGGGUGAGUAAUGUCUGGGAAACUGCCUGAUGGAGGGGGAUAACUACUGGAAACGGUAGCUAAUACCGCAUACCAUCAGAUGUGCCCAGAUGGGAUUAGCUUGUUGGUGGGGUAACGGCUCACCAAGGCGACGAUCCCUAGCUGGUCUGAGAGGAUGACCAGCCAAACUGGAACUGAGACACGGUCCAGACUCCUACGGGAGGCAGCAGUGGGGAAUAUUGCACAAUGGGCGCAAGCCUGAUGCAGCCAUGCCGCGUGAAGACGGAGGGCUUGUGGUAGUAGUUGCAGCCGCGGUA
rnacentral:rRNA from 1 species